rnacentral:rRNA from 1 species
UGGGGAAUCUUGCGCAAUGGGCGAAAGCCUGACGCAGCGACGCCGCGUGAGUGAUGAAGGCCUUCGGGUUGUAAAGCUCUGUGGAGAGGGAAGAAUUAGUGUCGUCCAAUACACGGCAUGAUGACGGUACCUCUUUAGCAAGCACCGGCUAACUCUGUGCCAGCAGCCGCGGUAAGACAGAGGGUGCAAACGUUGUUCGGAAUUACUGGGCGUAAAGCGCGUGUAGGCUGUUCUGAAAGUCGGGUGUGAAAGCCCUGGGCUCAACCUAGGAAGUGCACUCGAAACUUCAGAACUCGAGUCCUGGAGAGGAAGGCGGAAUUCUCGGUGUAGAGGUGAAAUUCGUAGAUAUCGAGAGGAACACCGGUGGCGAAGGCGGCCUUCUGGACAGUGACUGACGCUGAGACGCGAAAGCGUGGGGAGCAAACAG